rnacentral:rRNA from 1 species
UACGUAGGGUGCAAGCGUUAAUCGGAAUUACUGGGCGUAAAGCGUGCGCAGGCGGCUUUGCAAGACAGAUGUGAAAUCCCCGGGCUUAACCUGGGAACUGCAUUUGUGACUGCAAGGCUAGAGUACGGUAGAGGGGGAUGGAAUUCCGCGUGUAGCAGUGAAAUGCGUAGAUAUGCGGAGGAACACCGAUGGCGAAGGCAAUCCCCUGGCCCUGUACUGACGCUCAUGCACGAAAGCGUGGGGAGCAAACAGG